rnacentral:rRNA from 1 species
GAUGAACGCUAGCGGCAGGCUUAAUACAUGCAAGUCGAGGGGCAGCACGGGUAGCAAUACCUGGUGGCGACCGGCAAACGGGUGCGGAACACGUACGCAACUUUCCCAAAAACUGGUGAAUAGCCCUCCGAAAGGAGGAUUAAUACACCGUAACAUAAUGAAGUGGCAUCACUUUAUUAUUAUAGCUCCGGCGGUUUUGGAUGGGCGUGCGCCUGAUUAGGUAGUUGGCGGGGUAACGGCCCACCAAGCCUUCGAUCAGUAACUGGUGUGAGAGCACGACCAGUCACACGGGCACUGAGACACGGGCCCGACUCCUACGGGAGGCAGCAGUAAGGAAUAUUGGACAAUGGGCGAAAGCCUGAUCCAGCAAUGCCGCGUGAGUGAUGAAGGCCCUAAGGGGUUGUAAAGCUCUUUUACCAGGGAUGAUAAUGACAGUACCU